GCUGUUGUGCCCGAGUGGUUUAAGGGGAGAGACUUGAAUGUUCAUUUUGAGCCUUGAGAUCUCUUGGCGAAAGCCGCGCACGUUCGAACCGUGUCAACAGCG